CUGUAACCUGAGAAGAAACAAGAAACAAUUAUUUGAAUGAUUUCAGAUGUUUUGUGGUGCAAACACUAAUAUCCACCACUCAAAUGCUGCCUUUAUGAAACACAUAGAACAACCUGCCAGGCCCCCCAGGCUAGUAACCACUUCAGUUCUGCUCAUUGAAAGAGUUACCCAAUGUCUGUUGAUAUGGACCAUAGUUGUUAAUGCUGUUGCCAAGAAUUACAAAGUGGAAUACAGACAGGUCCUUCAUCACGAGGUGUAAGUCAGCAGGAGGAAGUGGUGGACUGAUCCUGCCCCAUCAUUUUCACGGAGAUUAAAGACAUAUUUUAUAUUCCUUCUAGCCGUUCUGAAUGGAGAAAAAUAACUUUAACUCUGGCAAUGAAGAGCCUUCCACACCUACCCCGCCCAGAGAGACACGGGCUGUCAAAUGAGCUCCAGUGAACUGUGUGUGACUCCAUCACCACCUCCAGCGGGUGUUUCUCUGGAUCCGCAGUCUCGGCAUCCCCCGAGGAGAUGCUAACCAUGCAGGACCCACGGAAUCACACACACCCUGGGAGGGACCCGGAAAUCUGUGUUUUAACAGACCCCCCGGUGAGUCGACUGCUGACGUUUGAGGAUGACCACUCUCCCCACAUUCGGUCUGUCCAUCUGUGAUCAAGGCCAGAGAGCUGUCAAAAAACGGGCUGGAGGAUGCCCGGUGCCAGCGUGAAGGGUGCCAGCGUGAAGGGUGGGAGGGGUGAGAGCUAAGGGUGCAUCGGCAUGUCCGAUGUUCUCUGAGUCUGUGACAUGGCCUGGCGGGUGACAAGCAAACUUGGCUCUUUUCUAACUGGGUGAUGAUGUAACAACCCGUUUUCCCGAUCUUUCCCAGCUCUCCAGGUCACUCAACAUGUACAAUGAGAAGGACUCGAUAUCACAUCCCCACAUUAAAGCAGCAUACACCAUGCUUUUUCUUAUAUGAACCUACGGGCACUGCAUUUCUCACACGCUGCAGACGCUCACACAGAGAAUUUUAAACCGUUAAGUUGUGUACGAAAGUGGGGCUGGACUGAGAAAACACAAAUAGGGGCUUCGUUUUCUCAGCCCAGAGGCUCUGCUAGAUGUAAUAUUUUGUAACAGGAACUAAUCAGGAAAUUGUACAAACCUAGG